rnacentral:lncRNA from 13 species
CUUUCCUUUGUUUGCCUGCUGAGGCGCUGCUGGGCUGCCAGGGGUUCAGUGGAGCUGCUGUGUCUUUUAUUUACUCAGAAAAAUUAGGCCAGCUUCUACAAUGGCGGUUUCCCCUCCCCACGCUGAGCUGGAUUGUUCCUGGUUGCUCUCUAGUGACUGAAAAUUUGACUCAAUUCACUGCUUCAGUAGAUGGGCUAUUGUAGACCUGGGCAGCAACUCCCUGGGGGACAGAUUGCAGACACAAGCCUUUCUUCCACAUGGAUGUGUGUGCUGGGGGUGUGGCCUGAAAAUGCAGCAUUGAUUCUGGGAAAACUGAGACCUGGGAAGCCUGGGUGUAAUAGUUCGAGAAAACAGAAAUGUUUUUCUUUGGCUGUUGUUCCUAAAGUUACUUAAAUGAGACUCAUUGGCUAUUGAUCUGUAUAUAUUGAGAUUACAAUAAAACAUAAUGGACCAGUUUCUCUCUCCCCUGG